AUACAUAAUGAUAAACACUGAUAAUGGCUGAAAUGAUGUAAAACAAAGGCUACAAUACCUCAAUCAUGAUUAAUUUUCCCAUGAUACAUACCAUUUCUUGUCAUUUUUGAUGCUUUUUCUCUUGCUGACCUUACAAGAGAAGAUGAGCUUAGCCCAUCUGUAAUGUAAUGUCAUCAGUGCACUUUCUACUCUAUCAGAUUUGUUUUUUUUUUUCCCAUGCAUUGCCAAAGCUAUCCCUUGUUUCUCUCCCCUAAUAAUUCCCAGUUCUAGCUUUUUCUAUGAUGUAUUUUUCUCAGAGAAAAUCUUAAAUCAAAAUCAUAGACUUUGUUUUUAACUCCAUAAGUUUAACUUAUUUGGUACCCUUUAAAUCAGCUACCCUUUCUUACCAAACACCAACCACACCAUCCAUGGCUUCCUCUUUCUUCCCUUUGCUCUUCUUUCUUCCCCUUCUAUUUCUUGACCCUCUCUUCUGCAAAGCCAAUCUUCACCAUUCCAAAACCUUCCUCAGAUCAUCCCUUAUUUCCCAACCAUUAACCAAUGCCACCAUUCUACCAACUCUCUUUUUUGAAGUCACCAAACCCAUCGAUGUCCCAACUACCAGGCCCUGUACCCUCUCUGUCCUUCAACAUGACUUUGGUUUCACUUAUGGCAAACCUCCUGUUUUGGCAAACUACAGCUUCCCAUCCGAUUGCCCAUAUCAGGAAUUUUCCAAGAUUGUCCUGGAAUGGAAUGCUACCUGCAAAGGAAGGCAAUUUGACAGGAUUUUUGGAGUUUGGUUAUCUGGAGUGGAGCUUUUGAGAAGCUGCACAGCUGAACCUAGAGCUACUGGGAUCAUUUGGAGUGUGAAAAAGGAUAUUACAAGGUAUUCCUCAUUGCUUUUAUCCAACAAGACUCAAACUUUUGCUGUUUAUAUGGGAAAUCUUGUUGACAAAACUUAUACCGGUGUUUACCAUGUCAAUGUCACUCUUUAUUUUUACCCUGCUGUGGAAAAAAUGAACCUUUAUGAGGAAAAGGCAAGAAAUUUAGGGUCUGGGUUUGGUUCUAAAGCCGAUUUGAUCAUACCCUUUUCGCUUGAUUUGCCAUUGAAUGAUGGGUUGUGGUAUGAGAUCGAGAAUUCUACUGAUGUUAAAGUGAAGGAAUUUGAAAUUCCUCAAAAUGUUUAUAGGGCUGUAUUGGAGGUGUACGUGUCAUUUCAUGAGAAUGAUGAGUUUUGGUAUGGGAAUCUUCCAAACGAGUAUAUUGCUGCCAAUAAUCUUACAGGUUUUGCUGGAAAUGGACCUUUUAGAGAGGUAGUGGUUAGUUUGGAUGAUGAAGUAGUUGGUGCCAUUUGGCCUUUUACUGUGGUUUACACAGGAGGAAUUAAUCCGCUCUUAUGGCGACCCAUUAGUGGUAUUGGUUCAUUUGAUCUCCCCACUUAUGAUAUCGAAAUUAGUCCCUUUUUAGGGAGUUUAUUGGAUGGGAAAAAACAUAAACUAAGUUUUGGUGUUACAAAUGCCUUGAAUGUGUGGUACAUUGAUGCCAAUUUGCAUCUAUGGUUAGAUAGCAAUAGUGCAAAGACCGAAGGGAAGCUUUUGCAACAUAAAGUGGCUCCUCUUGCUGUUUCUUCUGUGUUAGAUUUUAAGGGAUUGAAUGGAACCUUUGUUACUAAUACAUCCAGGUUCGUAUCCUCUAGUGGAUGGGUCAAGUCCACUUAUGGGACGGUCACAACUGAAUCCAUUCAAGAUUUAAGGUAUAGCAACUCCAUGUUGAUGGGCAAGGAUGGGAAUCUGCAGAUUGUGAAUCAGACGAUCCAUUUUGAUGACAGUGUUUAUGCAAAGUCACCAGCUUCUAAUGUCGAAUCAAAGAAAUCACUCAAGAGGUUUCAUUUAUACUUAUACACUGAUGAUGUUGAUCAAGGAAAUGGAACUCUAUCGAUGGUAGCUAAUGUCACAUUAGGAUUCAAUGAGAAGAAGUUUAAAGAUGCCGAUGCCAGGUCGCCUAGCAGUUCACUCAGAAAUUUGCAGAAAGGAAAGGGUGUAAUAAUUAUAAAAGACAACCUGGUUGUGAGUGGAGUCGGAAGUACCCAACAAUCAUAUAAUUACGAUAGUAGUAAAUUUUGCUACUCUAGAAACAUAAGCAGCUCAAACUACACCAUUCUUCACGAUGAAGUGCAAAACACAUGUAAUAAAAGAGCAAAAUCUCAUUUUGGAUACGGUCUUAGCAGAAGGUGGUCAUUUCCAGCUAGAAGAGCUUUUCUAACGUCUCAUGUAGUUGAUCCGAAUGGAAACUAGUAUUUUGGCUCCUUUGAUUCUUGACUUGCUUUAUUUGGAGUUCUCGAAUUAGAUAAUCAAGAUUCGUGCAUAUGGAUACUCCAAAUAAAUAAGUGUUUCUACUCUUGCAUCCUUUUCUUUUUAUCACAUUUUUUGCAAUUGAAUGAACUUAGGUGAUUCUUCUAUCUGACCUUAAGUUUGACAACUCAAAUCUAAAACUAAGCUGUUGUAGUUUAUAACGAACUUCGUUGGAUCCUAGAAGUAUUAUUUUGCAACCAAAUGCCAUGUAUAAUCUACCUGAAUUAAAUUCCAAAUAUAUUCAGAUACUUUUGGUGUACUGUACACUGUCUAUCCUUUUGACUUUAUACCACAGUUUAAAUUUCUCUAUGAAUAAUCUAGAUAAAGUUGAAUUUUCAACCAUUCAUCUCUGCCAGUCCCAUAAUCUAGUUCAUGCUACAUUAGAGCAUGUGGAACUGUCUUUGCUAGUACCAGAUAUAUGCAAAACGAUGGAAAUGUUUUUUUCUCUAACAGAGCUAAAUAUGUGCGGAUAUCUUUCAUUUAGAUUGUUAAACUUGGUCUUCCCUCACCUGUCGGGUCUUCCAUCCGAAGUUCAUUUGCUCGGGUCUGCCAUUGGAUGUCUUGCCAAAAGACAGAAUCCCAAGACUUGAGAAUAGGAUAUGGAAAAAGAAGUAGCUGAGGCUGCUUAGAAGCCACUAGACAUUGCAUCGGCUCUUAUUAGACUAUUAUUUACAGUUUAACAGCCUCAAGGAUUUCCAUUUCUUCCUCAUACAAUACUGUUUAUGCACCAAUAUGCAUCAUUGUAAAACAUGAAUCUCUCUUACUAAUAAUAUUCAUUGUCUUUUUUGUUGCAGCUAGCGUUCAUGGUUUCCGUUUAUGUGAAAAGGUUUUAUGGGACGUAGCUUCAGGGAAGAGCAAAUAUGCCAAUUCCAUUCUCUUCUCACAAGUCGUCGGUGAUAUUAUGCUUCUAAUAAUUUCCUCUCUUUUGUUGAUAAACUUAUUUUGUGAAAUAUGUUAAACCCUAAUUGGAAAUUAUAUAAAUUAGAUUUCUGAUUUUUAAUUCAA